rnacentral:rRNA from 1 species
UUUAUCAGAGAGUUUGAUCCUGGCUCAGGAUGAACGCUGGCGGCGUGCUUAACACAUGCAAGUCGAACGGG